GUAAAUUAAAUUUUAUUGCCAUCUAUCGUUAAAAUUUUACACAAAUAAAUUUACUGGCAAUGCGUUUCUUUUAAAUAUCAUCAAAUAAUUAUCUCUACAGACCUUACUGCAAUGAUGUGAGUAAUUGAAUGAGAGGGCUUGGCUCAUCAGUAGUGAACCCUCUCAGCGGUUUCGCCAAAUUAAUCUCUAGACCGCUCUACUAUUGUAUUGGACUGGUUUUGUUAUAUACCCUGCAUUAUCUAUGGAAGGCAGCUUAGGGGUGUUUAGGGGUUAAACACCCCUAAGCUGCCUUCCAUAUAAAAUGCAGGGUAUAUAACAAAACCAGUCCAAUACAAUAGUAGAGCGGUCUAGAGAUUAAUUUGGCGAAACCGCUGAGAGGGUUCACUACUGAUGAGCCAAGCCCUCUCAUUCAAUUACUCACAUCAUUGCAGUAAGGUCUGUAGAGAUAAUUAUUUGAUGAUAUUUAAAAGAAACGCAUUGCCAGUAAAUUUAUUUGUGUAAAAUUUUAAAAAAAUAAUUCAUUGUUUGACACCCAACUUUAUAGUGGACAAAGAUUUGAAUUGUUUGCUGCUCUAGAUAGAUCUUCAGAGGGAAGGUAUUACAAUGUGGGCAGCAGCUCAAAUGUGCCUAAACAGUGGCAUAUCAUUAUAGAUGCAAUUGAUAAAGCCCAAUUUGGAUUAUUAAUAUAUACAGUUAUCAGAGUCAUGCACAAUUCUGUCACCGUUUGCUUUUGUGAAUGGAAUAAAUACCCAAAUAUGGCCAUUUCUUAUAAGCAUCGGUGGUUCAGUGGUAGAAUGCUCGCCUGCCACGCGGGCGGCUCGGUUUCGAUUCCCGGCCGAUGCAUUUUUUUUUUUUUUUACAAUUUUUAAAACUCAUUUAUAUUAUUAUUAUUUUUUUUUUUGCUUAUCCCUAGUACAUGUGGUACAGGCCAUGAUAAUCAUGGUGGGUACUUAGUGACUGCUUUUACUGUAAGCGCACCACAUGUCUAUACAUGUGAAAAGCAGUUCGACUUUGCACUUACAAAUGCCAGAGCCCCUUUUGGUUACUUGCACUCGCUGGUGGGGUUGGACUUUUGCAAGAAUCGGGGGCCAUUGGAGCAUUUUUUUUUUUUAAACAGAAAAAAGUGUCUAAUGCGGGAAUCGAACCCGGGUCCUAGUGGUCGAAAACCAAACGGUUUAACCAGCCUUCCACCAACCCCCAUAUUAUUAUUAAAAUAUACAAGUAUCAGAGUCAUCAAUUCUGUCAUCGUUUGCUUUUGUGAAUGGAAUGCUUUUACGUAAUAUACGUAAAAUACGUAACUAAUAUGACUGAAAUUUUAGCAGUAUGUAUAGUAGAAUCUGGAAAAACUUAUAUUGAAUAUUUCAGGUCUCUAUCCCAAAUAUUCUUCGAGUUAUUUGCAAAUUUGCUCUUUCGCUCGCAAGCAGGGCCUCUAGCGGUGAAGAUGGGAGGUAAUAUCAGCUGACCUAAUGUACAUGUAAAACGUGUUUUAACAGGACAUAGAAAAAAAUAUGGAAGAGAUAUUCGCCGCAUUUUUAGCCAAGAAAAAUUGAAAUUGACAGGUUCUGGGCAAAAAUAGUUGUUUUUUUUUUAGUCAGAAAAUGAUUAUGACAAUAUUGCUGUAUCAUAUUUGAUUAUCAGAUACAAAAUUAUAUCCGGAAAAAUUCCAAAAAGCAGAGACCACGGGUGAAGCCAGUUCAUUUUUAGUAUGCAGGAACAAAAUUCUAACAGAAAAACAUUCAUUUGAGCAGAAGACACAAAGCCAGAUCAUCUCUUUAUAAAAAUAUCGCUUCUCAGACUCAAAGUUUGGAGUGGGACGUUUCACAAGAAUGACAUCCAUGGCGCCAAUUUAUAAUUGUAACGAAUAGUAUUUGAAUAAAAGCAUUUAAUCGGGUAAAACCUGGGCGUUGCCCGGGUCAUUUGGCUAGUAGAUUAUAGCUACAAGAAAAUAAGAUCUAGUCCAAAUAAUUAAUUAUUAUUAAUAUUAAUUUCAUUUGGACUAAGUCUUAUUUCAUGUAGCCAUUAGAUCAAUAAUGUAAUUCUAAAGAGAUAUUCUAAUUAAUUUUCUGGGUGAGUAGUUGCAUAUAUUGCCUUUUUCUUAAUAUUUUUCUCAGUAAAGCAAAACAGCAUGAAAAAGUCAUAGAGGAAUUGUAUUUUUUUCUCAUGUAUGAAAUAUGAGGAUAGAGAGGUACAUGAAGCCUUUGUGCGAAGUAAUCUAAAAUCAAGAAUUGUACAGUAGAUAUGCUGACAGAGACUUGGGAGAGAACCCUGCACUCACCUCCACAAAGGAGAUGGGGAAUAUCCCAAUCUUGUCUCCAAACUUUCCCUCUGCCCAGUUCUCAUCCACCUGUCGGAUCACAUGGAUUCUGUCCCCCUGCACCAUCCAGGCGAGGUCAGACACACAGUUCACAUUACUACAGUACAACAGAUACUCUAUAAGAGGACACUCCAAUUAGAGGAUACCUCUCUACAAAGGACAGUUUUCAUCUCCAAAAUUACCAAUUAACAACUCUCCAGUAAAGGACACUUUGGCUAUACAACUAGGUGUUGUCCUUCACAGGUAGGUAGAUCUAUUGUACUACAAAUAAAUAGGGCACACAUUACUGAGGGAAUAAAAAAAAAUCAAAGAAGUAGACAAAGACACCAAAUAAGUUAAGCAUGUAAACUUUUUUUUUCUUUUGUUUAUCCCUAGUACAUGUGGUACAGGCCAUGAUAAUCAUGGUGGGUAGAAGUAGGCGACUGCUUUUACUGUAAGUGAACUAUGGCUAUAACAAACCAUGACUAUAGUGAACCAUAGGUUCAGUACCAUUGAGGUUCGUCAUAGAGGGGUUUUACUGUGUUUUUAAAACAAAAAAUAAAGUUUACUAAAUAAAUAUAUAUAAUAUGGGAGGAUACCUUGGAGAAAUGUAGGCAGUCCUUGGUGGUGUCGGAGGGGGAGAAGUCAUAGAGAGCCUGGCACUGGGGUGGGCCCAGGGAGGAGUGCACCUGCAGCAUGGAGGCCUGCACGAUGCCCACCUUGCCCCCCAUCUCCCCCUGGUACCACAGGGGGCCGGCUCGCCCCCGCAGCCCGAUCAUAUCUCCCUUCCUGAAGGACAGAUGCCUGCACAAGUCAACCCAACUCUAGGUAUGAACUGGUACAAUCUGGAUUAUAGAUAAGAAUCACAAGAUCAACUGGUCUAACAAUUUACAUAUUUACUUCAGAUAAAUCACAAAUAGAAGUUCAACCGGCACUGUCAAGCAGAGCUGAAUGCACCACUUGGUUGCUUUGAUCAGUUUUGCUGGCUGUAGGUUUACUCCUGGUAUGCUCCUCAUUUUGGACAUUUCGAAGCCAAUUUGGAAAUAUUUGAACCACUCAGGAACUGUUGUGUGACAUAUUUUUCAAAACCUUGCCGAAAUCAUAAUUUUUGAAAUAUAUUUGCCAAUUGUUGUUGUUGUUGUUUCUUAUCCCCUUGUGUAAAGAUUACACGAAUUCCAUGAGUUCAUGCUCCUCGAGCUGUUUUAUGAUGAGCAGCGGCCUCUCCCAAAGGUCCUGUUUAGUGCAAUAUUUGCCAAUAAAUAUCAAAUAUGAAAAUAUUUACAAAGAGCUUCUUUCUUAUUUAAAAGGGGCAAGCUUUCAUGUAAUCAUGCUUCAAUGAACCUGCAAAGGCAGGCAACAUACAUACAAAAUCUAGAUUCACAAAAUAACCUUUGGGAGAGGCAGAUGUUUAUCAUCAAACAGCUCAAGGAGCAUUCUUCAUGGAAUUUCUGUAACCUUUGCAUAAGAGAAUAAAAAAUAAGAGAUUCCCAAAAAAAAAAAAUUUUUUUUUAAUGUUCUGUUGUUGUUGUUGUUUCUUAUCCCCUUGUGUAAAGAUUACACGAAUUCCAUGAGUUCAUGCUCCUCGAGCUGUUUUAUGAUGAGCAGCGGCCUCUCCCAAAGGUCCUGUUUAGUGCAUGUGAUAUAUGGGAAAAGGAUCCUGAGAAUCUUGUCGACUCUCUAUAAUAUAAAAAAAAUGCUUGUCGACUUCACUGUGAUAAAGUGCUUUGUCCUGAGAAUCCUCGGGAGUGGAUGGGGUUUUGUAUGUUUGGGCAGUCGUUAUCGAUGGCGGUGGAUGAAAAAUCGGCACACUAUAUCGAUUAAUGAAUCACAAAACACCUCGGAAUAUUAAUCAUUGGCGGCUCGGGAGAGGAGAUGGAAGGAUUUUCGCGAUUAAAUUGGAUUGAGAUGACUCACAUCUUGGACCUCGAGGCACUACUUUUAGAAGAUGCACACACACGUCUUGACACACACGUUACACCGACCGAACUCCGGUUGCCCCACCCCCCGGCUUGGGUCAUGUGGGACCCUGCUUGACCUUUGAUUGGUCCCUGUCUCUGUCGGCCAUGAUGGUGAAUUUGGUCGGGAAGGAGCUUUGCCUAACAUCCCAAUCUCUCAGGACAUUCAACUCUGGAAUAUGAGGGCCUCUUUGUUCUAAGUGACCUAGAUACACGACUUGGAUCUGUCGUUCUUUUCUCUUCUACUUCUUCCAUCUCCACGUCCUUUGACUGCCAUCUUUAUUUGAAUCCAUACAGAAUACAUUAUAUCCAACAUGGUACAUAAUUAUUUAUUAGACAAUAUUCUUUAUAAUAUUACAGAUGCGCCCCCUAUGAAUAAGAAUUUUAAAAGGGAUCUGUAUUAAAUUCUGAAAAAAGAAAAAUAAUUUUUUGGGAAAGAAAAAAAAAUAAAAUUUUUUAAAAUAGUGAGUGGUUAGAUACAAUUGGGGAGAAAGUAAAUGAUGGAAAUAAGUAAUAAAAAGAAAUUUGAGUAGAUAGGGGUGCUUGCUAAACUAGGAAAAAAUAUGAUAAUUUUUUAGAGGAAAAAAAAAUUUUGCCUGCAUAGGUGUUCAAUCUUGCUGUGUGGAAACCCACAGCAAGGGAAACUCUAUGAGGUGCAAUCCAAACAAAACAUAUAAGACAUUAACAGAAAUAAAAGAAAACUAUAGACAAUAAAAUUUGGAGAUGGAGGAAAAAAAAAAGAAAAAAGAAAUCUGAUUAGCCUUUGGGGCGGUGAAAAAAUAUAAACAAAACAUAAAAAAAAAAAAGAAAUCAAAGCUCCUGUAUGAUAAACUGAAGGCUGAUACAUGAGAAGUAUUGCGUCAGGUCAGUUGUUCAUUCAGUUAGGACAAAACAAGGUUUAAACAAUAAAAGGAAAAAAUAAACUUGAGGUGAUUAAGAAAUUGAAAGGGUGAUAGACAUGGAUGGUGGGAAUAAAAAAUUAAAAUAAAAAAAAAUAAAAGUGCUGGUUGUGUACAAGUCUUUUAAAAUUGGUUAACAAAAAUAUACACAAAAGAAGAAUAUUUUUUUACAUAACAAUGUCCAAUCUUUGUUUAUUAUAGGGUCGUAGGUCAUAAGGUUGCCAAAACUAUAUAGGUGCGUGAAUGUAUGCGAGUGUGUGUGAGUGUAUGUUCCAGAAAGUAACUUUAAGUGUGGUGACACGCGAAAAGUGACGGCGGGUUUGUUUACAUUCCGCAGGGAGGAUGUGACGUCAGUCACGUGAUCGGAAAGGACGUGACGUCGGCGCGGCGGAAGGUUUCUGUAAAGUGGACGCCAGCUGACAGCGGGGUGAUCGAUGAGUGAUGUAAAGGUGGGGAGAUUGCUAUUCGACUUGGCGCGCUCUAAAGAGGGUUUGGAAAAUCUCUCCUAUGAUUUCACCUAUUAGAGCGACCAAGGCAUGACUGUGGACAAGGAUGGUCCAUAACUCCGGGAGAAUUAUUCCUAUGGUUCGAUGGAUUAGUUCCACUACGGCGAUGGUUAUUUCGAAUAGGGCUUCCUGUAGUUGGAAGAGACGGUUGGGCUGCAGUGUAUAGACACUGACAUACAGUAGGGUGGCCAUGGGUAAUAGUACAGUGGGUAGGAUGAAAAGGUUGAUGAGGUAUAGGAGGUGGAACAAGGGGAAGGUUUUCACGUUAUGAAAAAACCUUGCCUGUAAGGGAAUUGGUUUGGGAUCAGCCCUAACUGUAGGGAUUGGGGUUUUAACUUUGGUUAUAUGGGUUGGACGGGAUAUUGCAGGUUGGGGAAUAUCGCGUUGGGCGAUAACGUUACAUUGUGGGUCAACAGGGGUGGUAGUGGUACAAUUGCCUAUUGUAGGAGCAAAGCGCUCAACUGUAAAGAGGUCUGGGGUGAGGUGCUCGAACAGUGGUGGUAGCGUCCUAGAUUGGGGUUUAGCAGGGUGUGGUAUCAGAGUGGGAGGUGCGAUAUAACGAAUAUUUUCGUUAUAGUACUGUAAUUUAUUUACAUGGACUGUGUCGGUAUUCCGAUUUAGAGGUUGGUUGGGUCGGUUUAUUCUCACCACGUUGGGAGAGAUGAUCUCUAAGAUCUCGUAGGGACCCGUGAAAUACGGAGCCAGUUUGCCUGUAUUGGGGUGAUGGUAAACUUUUACCAACACGAGAUCUCCGGGUUCAAAAUGGGGUGUCUUAUGUUGUUGGUCGUAGGCAUGUUUGUCUUUGAGGUGCUUGGCCUGGGUACGUUCAUGGGCUAUCCGUCGGGCUGUGGUUAAAACGGGGUAGGGUUUUACAUGCUCAGUGAGCUCGGGAGGUAGAACGCCGAACAUCAGGUAGCCAGGUGGGAACCCGGUAACUGAGUGGGGCGUGUUGUUAUACACCACAGUAACGCGCUUCGCCAGCUUAGUCCAUGCGGCUUUGGGGUUUUCCAAAUGGAGUAACCUUAGUUUGCCUGUUAAGGUAGCGUUCAGGCGCUCGCAUAGACCAUUAGCUUGGGGGUUGUUACUGGUGGUGAGCAGGGGAUGGAUGUUCCUGUUAAUCAGGAACUUCCUGAACUUUGGUGAGGUGAACGCAGGCGCUCUAUCCGUGAGUAGGCGUUUCGGAGAGCCGUCCUGCAACACUCGCUUUAUCACCUGUUGAUAGGUGGUGAUGCUGGUAGAUUUUGAGGGGAAGGUCCACGUGUAGCGCGAAAAGUGAUCCACCACAACGUGGAGGUAAGCUUUGGCGUUACCAUAUUUGGCAAGUCCAGCUAUGGUGUCGAGGGCGACCAGGUCAAAAGGCUGAGUGGCCACAGGAAGUUGUCCUAGUUCCCCAAACGUGGGACCUCGAGGGGGUUUUGUUGACUGACAGAUGGCGCAGGCUUUGGUGGUUUUGGAGAUGUCUUCUGACAUCCCCUUCCAGUAGUACUGGGGAGAGAUGAGCCUGGUCAUCUGGGAUAUGCCCGGGUGGUUGUACCGACUGUGCACCUUUGUUAGUAGGUCGGGAACGAGGGCGUCAGGGACGACAAUUUUGGUUACACCUCUACGCUUUAGGGUUUGCAGUCCGUUUCGAUCAAUGGUCAGUUUAGAUUCUCCCGAAGGAGUGAGUUGGUGGUUCUUAAUGAGGGUGGCGUCUAAGAAUCCACAAAACGGGUUACGGGAUAGGAGGUCCGCUUCAUGUUGUUGUGCUCCUUUUAUGUAGCGGACUUCGUAUUCGUAACACGAUAACCUCAAACUCCAUCGGAAUAAUCUGCCUGACGGGUUUUUGAUCGUCUUCAGCCACUGCAGUGCGUGAUGGUCAGAAAAUAUGGUGAAUUUUCUGCCCAUUAGAUACACACGGAACUUCUCCACGCUCUCGACAAUGGCGAGGCAUUCUAGUUCGGAGAUGGUGUAGUUCCGCUCGUGUACACGCAGAGCGCGGCUGAAAUAUUGGACUGGGUAGGCCUUCCCAGCGGAGUGGACUUGUUUGAGGACGCCUGCAAUGCCAAGUGUUGAUGCAUCGCAAUAUACCUGGCAUGGUAGUUCAUCCUUGUAGAGGUGCAAUACGGGGUGUUGUGUGAGGCUUUCCUUCAGGCUGGUGAACGCCUUUUGGCAUUUGUCAUCCCAGUCCCACGUCACAUCCUUCUUGAGAAGGUUGUUGAGUGGGGUCCGCAAACGGGCAUAGUCCGGGAUGAACUUAUUAUAGACGUUCACGGCGCCUAAGAAGGAUUGCAGCGUUUUGCGAUUGUUCGGGGGUGGGAUAGCGUGGAUUACGUCGGUAUUGCGGAUAAGUGGGGUGGUGGUACCAGCGGUGAUUGUGUACCCCAGAAAUUCGAUGGUCUGCCUAAAAAACUCGCAUUUGGUGAGGUUGAGUUGCAAGUUCUCCGCGUCGCAGAACGCGAAAAACUUGCGCAGGUGUUCUUGGUGUUCCUCCAGUGUCUCCGAAUAGAUGACAAAGUCGUCAAAAUAGUGCGCCACACAAUCAAGUCCGUGCCCCUGCAGGACCUGAUUGAUUGCCCUUUCAUAGAUCUGUGGACUGGUCUUAAGUCCGAAAGGCAAUCGGGUGGGCUGAUACAACCCGUCUAUCGUGGCGAAGGCCAACAGUGGUCGAGAAUCAGGGUGUAUCGGCACUUGCCAAUAUGCGGAGGAGACGUCGGCAGUCGAGAAAUACUUGGCCCGCGCGAGACGGUCCAGUAUAUCUUCGAUCCUCGGGAGUGGAUGGACAUCGGAGCUUAUGACCUCGUUCACCUUCCUAUAGUCGAUACAAAACCUUUUGGUCUUGUCUCGCUUGGUCACUAGGGUGACCGGGCUAGAGAAAGGGGAGUAGGACGGCUCAAUGAUGUCAUUAUCCAACAUCUGUCGGAUCUGACUGCGUAUUUCCCGUUGGUCGCAUAUCGGUACCCUAUAUGGGCGGAUGGUGACGACUUUGUCGGAGUUGGUGGCGAUUCUUACUGGGGGAACCUUUAGGCAUGGGACCGCGAAUUUGUUCCGGGAGAACACGUGUUGGUAUUGGCGCAAUAGCGCCGGGAAUUGAGGUGGAUACGGUGGCUGCGGUUGAUUGUCUAUGGGGAUCCCUGGGAGGUGUUCUGGUGAUGAUGGGUGGUGUGUGUGGUACAUGGAAUGGUGUGUGGAAUGGGGAUGUUUGGGUGUAUGGUGAAGGUGGUCCGUUUGGACCUUGGUGGGGUGUGAGAGGUUGGCAUUGGGUGGUUGUUCUGGUACCUUGACCCUAUAAUAAGAGCAGUUGGCUCUAAAAAAGUUCUUUGAUUGGACAUGGUGCGGUGGUUGGGUGAGUCCCUGGGUUGUGGACGUGUUGUCCGAAAAAUGCGCAUAUUGGGUAUUGUUGGCGGAAGGCGGAAAAAUAGUGUGGGCCUUGCAUAGGUCCGCCUGGCAUUCCCAAUAUGUGCACCUUUCGGGCAACACAGCAAAGUGGUAGGUCAGGGGCGACAAAGGUGCGUCGAGUUGGUACAUAGUGCCAUGUGCAAAAUCGAUUUUUAAUUUGAAUUUACGGAGGGUAUUAAUACCAAGUAUUCCAAAUGGUAGAGGGGCGUCCACCACGUGGAAUACUUCGUUUUGGGUUAUGGCAUGAAUGGACAGGGGGAAGGUAAUCUGGCCUAUUGUUGGCACGUGGCCAUCUAUUGUCUGUAAAUUUAUUAUUUUUUUAGUUAUUAAAUUUAGGUCAGGGAAAUUAUUCUUUAAAUUUUUAUAUAUGGCACAUGACACUAGGUUAACGGACGCACCCGUGUCUAUCAGGAAUGGUAGGGACAGUCCAUGGGAGAUUGGCAGUCUAAUUGUCAGGUUGACGAAAGGCCUGGUCAGUAGGCCUACCUGCUGGCUGCUGGUCUGGGGCUCCCUUGGUUAUCCCAGUGGCUUGUGCGCGUGACGCUUGGUGAUGGGGCUGGGCUCGCGGCCGUUGUUCCGCUAGUUGCGCGGAGCGCGCUGCUCGUGCGUCUCCGGAGGCACGGGGCAACUGCGGGGCUUGUCUGAGACGACACUCAGAGUGCCAGUGUAGUCCACCACAAAAACGGCAGUCUGUUGGCGGGGUCGACCUGGUUGGCACUGUUCUUGGACUAGGUCGCACCGGUGCGUAGGGGCCCAGUAGGGGUGGUGCGUGCUCGUCUGGGUGCCUUGGAGAUGGUGCGCCGCUGCCGCGGAUCCGCUGCACCAGCCGGAACCAUGCACCUAGGUUCUCUGGCGGCACAAUGCGGACGAGGCGCUGGUCGGAGGGUGGCAGCCCCUCGGUGAGCGUCUCCAAGAUGACCUCUUGUGGGAGGCCCAGUUGUAGACCCAGCGCGGUCUUAUUCCGAUAGUAUUCUUCCAGGUUGGGCUGUCCGGCCAGCUUCAUGGAGAAGUAUUGGGCAUACGUGGCCUCAUUGGUCUCCGGAUAGAGAUCCAGGAAGGUCUGUCUCACCUGGAUGUAAUGUUGGGUCUCCAUCCGAAGCCUCCUGAAGUGUUCUAGCGGUUUGUUGUUCAGGUAACGGGGUAGGCGGAGCACUUUUUCCGUGUUGGUGAGACCAUCCCAGUCUGUUUUCUGGUCAUAUGUCCGAAAGAACUGGGCGGCUGGGUAGGUCCCGUCGAAGCUCUGGACUUCUAUCUCCGUCCGAUGGGUCACGCGGUCGCUGGUGGUCUGAAGGGCAGAUAAACACGCCGCGAGGCGUGCCAAGACGGCCGGCAACUCUGCCGACGGAGGGGGUGGUUCUAUUUUGGGAGUACUUACGGCGGGGUUGUUUUCUCCCUCUGCGGUGUCUUCCUCCGCGUUUUGCGUUUCGUUUUUCUCGUCCAUCCUGUCGACUCUCUGUGAUAUAUGGGAAAAGGAUCCUGAGAAUCUUGUCGACUCUCUAUAAUAUAAAAAAAAUGCUUGUCGACUUCACUGUGAUAAAGUGCUUUGUCCUGAGAAUCCUCGGGAGUGGAUGGGGUUUUGUAUGUUUGGGCAGUCGUUAUCGAUGGCGGUGGAUGAAAAAUCGGCACACUAUAUCGAUUAAUGAAUCACAAAACACCUCGGAAUAUUAAUCAUUGGCGGCUCGGGAGAGGAGAUGGAAGGAUUUUCGCGAUUAAAUUGGAUUGAGAUGACUCACAUCUUGGACCUCGAGGCACUACUUUUAGAAGAUGCACACACACGUCUUGACACACACGUUACACCGACCGAACUCCGGUUGCCCCACCCCCCGGCUUGGGUCAUGUGGGACCCUGCUUGACCUUUGAUUGGUCCCUGUCUCUGUCGGCCAUGAUGGUGAAUUUGGUCGGGAAGGAGCUUUGCCUAACAUCCCAAUCUCUCAGGACAUUCAACUCUGGAAUAUGAGGGCCUCUUUGUUCUAAGUGACCUAGAUACACGACUUGGAUCUGUCGUUCUUUUCUCUUCUACUUCUUCCAUCUCCACGUCCUUUGACUGCCAUCUUUAUUUGAAUCCAUACAGAAUACAUUAUAUCCAACAUGGUACAUAAUUAUUUAUUAGACAAUAUUCUUUAUAAUAUUACAUGCAUCUAAUGCAAGCCAAAAUGUGUUCUGGAGCUGCAGGUACCAAACUACAUUUUGGGCAAGUGGGAUAAAUUUUGUUAUUAUUUUCUAUCUUCAAUGGCUUGAGAUGGCCUGUUCUAAAUCUUGUUAGUGUUGUUUGAUGCUGUCUAUUUCUGAUCUUCAGAGCUUCUCCUGGGUUCACUCCACUGUACCAACUGUGCUUAGGUGGGAUCCUCCAGUUCUUGUUUAUUUUUGUUUUGGCUAUUGUUUCUAUUUCUUUAAAAGUAAGUUUAUUUUUCUGUGGCAUGGGUUCUUUUGUGCCUUUUUUCGCUAGCACAUCAGCAGCUUCAUUGCCUUCAAUGCCAACGUGUGAGGGUAUCCAUUGAAGGUGAAUUUUUGAGGUUUUUGAGAGUUUUUGGAGAUAACCAAUUAUGUUCCUGCUUACUUUGUCUCUGAGUUCCCCUGUGUGACUCAAGUGUUGUAUGGCACUUCUACUAUCAGUAAGAAUCCAGAUAUCUUGAUAAUUAGUAUUUCUGAUGGAUUUUUAAGGCUUCAUAGAUGGCUAUAAGUUCUGAUCUGAAGACUGAGCAAAAAUCUGGGUUUCUUCUGUUCAUUUUCUCAAUGCUAUUUGUGGUUUUGAUGAGACAGCCACUGCCAGUGUGUCCUAGCUCGUCUCUGCUACCAUUGGUAUAGAUAGUUAUUGCAUUUUUAGGAAUGUUAUUAAUUAUUUCUGAUGAUAAUUGUUUUAAGUAUUCUGGAUUUUGGUAUUGUUUGUUGGUGGGUUCAUUUAAAGUGGCAUUAAAAGUAACAUUUUGUAGUGGUUUGCAUGGAGAAAUUUUUUCUGCUAAAUAAUUUUUUUCCACUUUAUAUUUUAAAAAUUCAUUUCUUUUGGCCAGGUGUAGAGGGCCUUCUUUUUUGAGUCUUAAAUUGGAUUCCCAAUUAAGUAUGUACUUGGAAGUUCUGUGUUUGUUUCCAUAACUCUUGAUUUUGUUUAUAUAUUUUGGCAGAUUGUAGCUUCUUCUAUCCUUUAAGGGCAUAAUGUCUGCCUCGUAAAGUACAAUAUCAUUAGGGCAGGUAUUUCGAAGACCUGUAAUAAUUCUAGCUGCACUUAGUUGUAUCCUUUCCAGUGAUUUUAGAUUUGUUUCAGAUGCUGUACCAUAGAUUUGAUAUCCAUAUUCCAGGAUAGGUCUAAUUAGAGAUGUGUAAGUUAAUUUUAGUGUGGUUGCAUCGGCUCCCCACUCUCUUCCUGAAAUAUAUUUCAGGAUUUUUAGUCGGUCUCUUCCUUUUCUAAUAACUUCUUCAAUAUGUUUACUGGAGUUAAUUUCUGGAUCCAGGGUGUAGCCAAGAUAUUUAGGAUGUUUAUUAUAUUGCAAUUGUUGUUCUUUCAGAAUAAUUUUUGGUCUUAUUUUGUAUAGUUUCUUAUCGGUAGUAAAAAGACAGGUUUCAGAUUUUUGGGGGUUAAAUUCUAAUUUAUGUUUAUUAGCAAAUUUUUCUAGGUGGAAAAGAGUCUUGUUCAAAUCUCUUUCGGCUUUUUUCCAGUUAGUAUUGCUGCUCCAUAGAAUAAUGUCAUCAGCGAAAAGUCCAAUAUUGGUUUUAUGUGAAAUUUUUUCUUCUAUGCCUGCAAUAAAUAGGGUGAAGAGAGUUGGGCUAAGGACUGAUCCUUGUGGUAAUCCUUGGUACAAUUUGAAGGUUUUAGAUAGAGUGCCAUUAUAUUUGACCCUGAUGUAUCUAUUUUUAAGGAAAUCAUUUAUCCAAGUGAUAGCUUUUCCAUCAAUUUUGAAAUGUUUGUAUAAUUUUGUAAUUAACUUGUUUUUCCAUACCUUAUCAAAAGCUUGUGUAAGGUCUAAAAAAGCAGCUAUUGUGUGGUUAGUUGGUUUUCUAUUUUGUGCAUCUUUUACCUUUUGUGUGAAAAAUAAGAGUUGGUCUAUGGUCCCAUGUCCUUUCCUAAAUCCAUAUUGUUCUUUUGGUAAGAGAUUUCUUGUGACGAGGUGGUAGGUGAGUCGUCUGAGUAUAAUUUUUUCCAUUAAUUUGCAGCAAAUACUUGUGAGGGAGAUAGGUCGAUAGUUUUUUGGGUCAUCAGCAGAUUUGUCAAGUUUUUUAAUAGGAAUUAUUGUUGCAGUUUUCCAGUCUUGAGGCAAUUUUCCAGUUUUCCAGGAGUUAUUGAAAAUAUCAAGAAGUUUUUCUUUGCCAUUUUUGCCCAAGUUUGAUAUCAUUUGGCCAUGGAUUCCAUCUGGCCCAGGAGUCUUGUUCAGGUCAGUGUUUUCUAAUGCAUAAUCUAGCUCUUUCAUAUUGAUUUUUUCAUGGAAAAUAUUAUGAGUGCUAGUGACGUUUUUACAGUCAUGGAUAAUCUUUCGGGCCUUUUUUUCAACUUUCUUAUCUUUUAUUUCAAAUUUGAUUUUACUACUUAUUUGAUAUGAAUUACCUAAAAGAUUAGCAGCAUUUUUGUCAUUAGUUGCUGGGGUACCAUCUGUAUUCUUAAUCAUAUUUGUGUUUUCAGUUUGUGGCUGGGCUCUGUCAAUUUGUUUUGCCAAAUGCCAAAGUUUUGUAUUUGGGUUUCUUGGGUUCAGGUUUUCACAAGUUUGUUUCCAUUUUUCCCUUUUCAUAUUUACAUAUAAUCUUUUUAUUUUUGCAUUCACAAUGUUCAAUUCAGUUCUACAAUUUGUUUGGUUUUGGGUGCACUUUUUUUGUAGUUCAUUUCUUUUAGUUAUAAGUGUUUGAAUAUCUUUUGCCUGGUGUGUAUAAUUUGGAAUCCAUUUCUUAAUAUUACCUCUUGGUAUUGAAACUUUGGCUGCUUUAAUAAUGGUGUUUUUGAAAGAUAUCCAAUUUUGUUCCAGAUCUUUAUUCUUGUGGGUGCUUUUCUAAAGUCUUCAUUGGUGUUUUGCUGGUAAAGAUUCCAAUUAGCCUUUUUGAAGUUCCAGAAUUUUUCUUUAAUUGAGCUGGUUUUGGUCUUGGUGCUAAUUUCUAUCAAAAUAGGCAAAUGAUCACUUCCAAUACUUUUUAAUAUUUGCCAUUUGCAUUUGUGGAAAAUGUCAGGACUGGAGAAACUUAUAUCAAGGGCUUGCGCGGUAUUAUAACUGUAGGAAUGGUGGGUAGGAUUCCCAUCAUUUAAGCACAUGAAGGCAUUGUCGUCAAAUAAGUUUGAAAGUAUUUUGCCUCUUGGGUUUGGCGUGGAACAUCCCCAUAGUUGAUGUUUGGCAUUAAGGUCACCUACAAUAAUAGUGUUGUCUGUAAGAAAUUGAGCCAUUGUUCCAUCGUCAAUAAGUUUAUUGUUUGGUGGGUGAUACAUAUUGAAUAUGUUGAUGGUUUUGUUUUGAUUGAGGUAGACUUUGAUACCUUGGGCUUCGAGGUCUGAUGUGUUUGGAAUAUUAAUGGCUAUGUCUUCAUAGUACAAAUUCUUGAUUAAAAAUGCAAGGCCACCCCCUUCUUUAUUUCUGUCUUUUCUGAGGAUAUUGUAGUUUUUAUAUUUGAGAUUGUACUUUUCAUUUAAUUUGGUUUCCUGUAGGGCUAUAAUUUGUAUAUUUUGUUUUUCAGCUAUUUCCAUUAUUUCUUCUAAUUUUAUUUUUGUUGCUGUUGAGCACAAUCCAUUUAUGUUGCACUGUAGAAUGCUCAAUUGCUUGGAAGUUGCAAAGUGUGAAGUUUGUGGAGACUGUAUUAUACUUAUCGGACAGAACCCUCUACCUAAGUCCUGAACGCGCCCCUGUUUAUUCUGCGCGACGGGCGAUGCAGCAUGCAAAUCAACAUCUGAUCUCAUGGAAUGGGGUAUAGGGGUGCA